GAUGAACGCUGGCGGCGUGCUUAACACAUGCAAGUCGAACGGAAAGGCCCUGCUCUUGUGCGGUGCUCGAGUGCCGAAGGCGUGAGUAACACGUGAGUAACCUGCCCUUGUCUUUGGGAUAACUUCACGAAACUGGGGCUAAUACCGGAUAGGAGCUCCUGCUGCAUGGUGGGGGUUGGAAAGUUUCGGCGGUUGGGGAUGGACUCGCGGCUUAUCAGCUUGUUGGUGGGGUAGUGGAUUACCAAGGCUUUGACGGGUAGGCGGCCUGGGAGGGGGACCGGGCACAUGGGGACUGAGAGACGGCGCAGACUCCUACGGGAGGCAGCAGGGGGGAAUAUGGCACAACGGGCGGAAGCCUGAGGCAGCGACGCCGCGUUCGUGAUGACGGCCUUCGGGUUGUAAACCGCUUUCGCCUGUGACGAAGCGGGAGUGACGGUAAUGGGUAAAGAAGCACCGGCUAACUACGUG
rnacentral:rRNA from 1 species